rnacentral:rRNA from 1 species
GACGUAGGGCGCGAGCGUUGUCCGGAUUUAUUGGGCGUAAAGAGCUCGUAGGCGGUGUGUCGCGUCGGCCGUGAAAACCUGCAGCUUAACUGUGGGCUUGCGGUCGAUACGGGCAGGCUGGAGUUCGGUAGGGGAGACUGGAAUUCCUGGUGUAGCGGUGAAAUGCGCAGAUAUCAGGAGGAACACCGGUGGCGAAGGCGGAUCUCUGGGCCUUACCUGACGCUCAGGUGCGAAAGCUAGGGGAGCGAACAGG